UUGAACGCUGGCGGCAUGCCUUACACAUGCAAGUCGAACGGUAACGGGUCCUUCGGGAUGCCGACGAGUGGCGAACGGGUGAGUAAUAUAUCGGAACGUGCCCAGUAGUGGGGGAUAACUGCUCGAAAGAGCAGCUAAUACCGCAUACGACCUGAGGGUGAAAGGGGGGGAUCGCAAGACCUCUCGCUAUUGGAGCGGCCGAUAUCAGAUUAGCUAGUUGGUGGGGUAAAGGCCUACCAAGGCAACGAUCUGUAGUUGGUCUGAGAGGACGACCAGCCACACUGGGACUGAGACACGGCCCAGACUCCUACGGGAGGCAGCAGUGGGGAAUUUUGGACAAUGGGCGCAAGCCUGAUCCAGCAAUGCCGCGUGCAGGAAGAAGGCCUUCGGGUUGUAAACUGCUUUUGUCAGGGAAGAAAUCUUCUGGGCUAAUACCCCGGGAGGAUGACGGUACCUGAAGAAUAAGCACCGGCUAACUACGUG
rnacentral:rRNA from 1 species